AGUGAACGCUGGCGGUAGGCCUAACACAUGCAAGUCGAACGGCAGCACAGUAAGAGCUGGCUCUUACGGGUGGCGAGUGGCGGACGGGAGAGGAAUACAUCGGAAUCUACUUUUUCGUGGGGGAUAACGUAGGGAAACUUACGCUAAUACCGCAUACGACCUACGGGUGAAAGCAGGGGAUCUUCGGACCUUGCGCGAUUGAAUGAGCCGAUGUCGGAUUAGCUAGUUGGCGGGGUAAAGGCCCACCAAGGCGACGAUCCGUAGCUGGUCUGAGAGGAUGAUCAGCCACACUGGAACUGAGACACGGUCCAGACUCCUACGGGAGGCAGCGGUUGGGAAUAUUGGACGAUGGGCGCAAGCCUGAUCCAGCCGUACCGCGUGGGUGAAGAAGGCCUUCGGGUUGUAAAGCCCUUUUGUUGGGAAAGAAAAGCAGCAGGUUAAUACCCCGCUGUUCUGACGGUACCCAAAGAAUAAGCACCGGCUAACUUCGUG
rnacentral:rRNA from 1 species